AUUGAACGCUGGCGGCAGGCCUAACACAUGCAAGUCGAACGAGUGGCGGACGGGUGAGUAGUGUCGGGGAAACUGCCCGGUGGAGGGGGAAAAAUAGUGGAAACGGUAGCUAAUACCGCAUCCCAUCGGGUGCGCCCAGAUGGGAUUAGCUAGGAGGGGGGGUAACGGCUCACCUAGGCGAAGAUCCCUAGCUGGUCUGAGAGGAAGAUCAGCCACACUGGGACUGAGACACGGUCCAGACUCCUACGGGAGGCAGCAGUGGGGAAUAUUGCACAAUGGGCGCAAGCCUGAUGCAGCCAUGCCGCGUGUAUGAAGAAGGCCUUCGGGUUGUAAAGUACUUUCAGCGAGGAGGCGUUACUCGCAGAAGAAGCAUCGGCUAACUCCGUGCCAGCAGCCGCGGUAAUAC
rnacentral:rRNA from 1 species